rnacentral:rRNA from 1 species
GAUGAACGCUGGCGGCGUGCUUAACACAUGCAAGUCGAACGAUGAUGCCAGCUUGCUGGUGGAUUAGUGGCGAACGGGUGAGUAACACGUGAGUAACCUGCCCUUAACUCUGGGAUAAGCCUGGGAAACUGGGUCUAAUACCGGAUAUGACUCCUCAUCGCAUGGUGGGGGGUGGAAAGCUUUAUUGUGGUUUUGGAUGGACUCGCGGCCUAUCAGCUUGUUGGUGAGGUAAUGGCUCACCAAGGCGACGACGGGUAGCCGGCCUGAGAGGGUGACCGGCCACACUGGGACUGAGACACGGCCCAGACUCCUACGGGAGGCAGCAGUGGGGAAUAUUGCACAAUGGGCGAAAGCCUGAUGCAGCGACGCCGCGUGAGGGAUGACGGCCUUCGGGCUGUAAACCUCUUUCAGUAGGGAAGAAGCGAAAGUGACGGUACC